rnacentral:rRNA from 1 species
GAGGAACGCUGGCGGCGUGCCUAAUACAUGCAAGUCGAGCGAACGGACGAGAAGCUUGCUUCUCUGAUGUUAGCGGCGGACGGGUGAGUAACACGUGGAUAACCUACCUAUAAGACUGGGAUAACUUCGGGAAACCGGAGCUAAUACCGGAUAAUAUUUUGAACCGCAUGGUUCAAAAGUGAAAGACGGUCUUGCUGUCACUUAUAGAUGGAUCCGCGCUGCAUUAGCUAGUUGGUAAGGUAACGGCUUACCAAGGCAACGAUGCAUAGCCGACCUGAGAGGGUGAUCGGCCACACUGGAACUGAGACACGGUCCAGACUCCUACGGGAGGCAGCAGUAGGGAAUCUUCCGCAAUGGGCGAAAGCCUGACGGAGCAACGCCGCGUGAGUGAUGAAGGUCUUCGGAUCGUAAAACUCUGUUAUUAGGGAAGAACAUAUGUGUAAGUAACUGUGCACAUCUUGGCGGUACCUAAUCAGAAAGCCACGGCUAACUACGUG